AUAUAUAUAUAUAUGUACUAUUAUUAGUAUAUAGUGAUGUAAACAGUGUGCAUCGUUAUGAGAUAAGCAAUAAAGUUUAUUACUUUUUUCCAUAAUUGCGCAGUCUAUGUUAUUUUCGCCAUUCAGCAUUGAUCUUUAUGUACUGUAAGUGUAAAUAUAAAAUAAAUUCCAUUUGUAUUGGAUUGAUAAAUUAGUGAUGGUAUUGUUCUUUUUUAAGUUAAAAUAAUUUAAUAUCUUUACCAUUUGUAGGCCUAACAACCUGGCGUUAUUUACUGUUAAAAACAAAUAAAUCGUGUAAGGUGUAGUAAUAAUAAAUAUUUAAUGUUUAAAAUGCAAUUCUAAAAUAAAUUCUAACUGCAGUAUCACUGAGAACACGCGACGCAUUGCUUUCGAGUAAGCCGGGUUAAUGAUAUACAGGCGCUCUUCUCAACUCUCAAUUAUUGUAUAAUUGCAUUACAAUAUUAAUUUGUUUAUAAAUUGUAAUCAUCAUGAUACAAGAUCACGGUGGAAUACCAUUAUGGUUUUACUUUCAAUACAAAUCAAUAGGCAUUUUUUGAACAUUUUAUCUUUGCGAAUGAAACUGCAUAAUAGAUCAGCUGUUUUGUAUUAAACGAAAAUUUUUCAUCAGCGUAUAUGCGGCAAUGAUUCGAAGAAAUAAAAGGAGACUCAAACUUUGUGCAAACUUUCAAAUAUAACAGUUUCAGUUUUCCUCGAGCGCCUGAAAUCCCUCACGUACUCCGCUAUCUGGAGGGUAAUAAACCGAUCGCUGGGGGGUAUUAGCCACGCUUUCUCAAACCGCUUGUACACCUUCGAACAUUUAUAAGCGUACCUACGUACACAAAUGACCCUAGCUCGCUCAUCCCUCCUAGAAUCCUCGGAUUAGUCUCUCGGCUUCUCCUCUGUUUCGAAAAAGCGCAAUUCAAGCUGGGUCAGAUGUUCCCACAAUAAUAGGAUGCCGCAUGGGCAGUACUUUGGGUAGGUAUAGUUUCGUUGAAUCUUACCUCCCACUAGUCGCCCCUUGUAGGUCUAUUUUUGGCAACACCGCUUCGAGGGCUAGCAAGGAGGGUAGCUUGUAGAAAUCGGCAUCAGCCUCAGAAGAUCUGUCGUCCUAUGAAAAUGAAGCUCUUCUCUGCAGCUGCGGUUUGUCUCCUCGUAGCCAUGGCUGCGGCUUAUACAGAUGGCUGUAAUAAAAUAGGUAAUAUUUUUAUUGUGAUGAAUUUUGUAUUAUUUUCAAAAGUAAACGUUUCGUACAAAAUUGUUUGUUAUAGAACAUUUUUAUGAUAAUGCGGUAUUAUUCUAAUAUAAUUUUCGUUUAGAUUACCAUAGCUUUUCGGCAUAAUUAAUCCGCUUUAAAUCCUGCUGGAUUCUGUGUGAUCUGUUAUUCACAGUUAAAAUUUGUUUAAAAACCAAUCGUUACUUUGACGAUAAUUAAUUUACAAUUGAAGUACAGUAUAUUUUGUAACAAAAAGUUUAUACUAUAAUGUGUGAUCAUUGAGCGAUUCGGCAUCGCACAAAAGUGUAAAGUUUACGCGCGUUUUACAAACACAAAUUUACAAUUUUUUACAGGCCCCAAUGAUGAGAUUAAGGAGAUGCUCACAAAUAAACGAACUAUAGGACUCACUGAAAACUUCACGAAAAAUGGAAAUAAAAACAAAAUCAGGAGCCUCGAUCAAGGUCUCCAAAAACUUCGGCUUCAACGACGGAGGUGCCAUAGCCCAUCUGCCGGCUAUCAUCGACAGCCUCAGCAUAAACAAAUAUCGAGUUCUCCAAAAAUGGCAGAAUGAUCGCUAUCCCGAGGUUGGUCAAGUCAGUGGCCACGUCUCGGUUGGAGGUCAGAUCAACGUCAAUCCUGGUAAUAGCAUUUUCGGUCAUCAAGGAGGAUCGAAGGGCCUACACGCAGCUAAGCACGAGCUGCUGUCUGAUUACGCUGACUGAUCGUGUAGAUAUUGUCCAAAGUUUGCUGAACUACGGCAGCAACGUCAACGCCACCAAUUUCUAUGACGACACACCACUUCACGUGAUGGCUAUGAGCAAUACUUGUCACGCGAAGAUCAUUGUGCUUCUCUUGAAAUACAGAGCCGAUAACGCUAGGAAGAACAACGAAAGUUAGAUGCCAUUUUACGAAUACAUUUUUGCCCAAGAGAGCAGAUACGGUGUUGAUCAGACACUGCUGAGGCUUCUCUUACCCGCUGAUAGACACGGCCUGAGCCCGAUGCACGAAGCCUGUAUAUUUCACCAGUUGAGAACCGUCAAGGAGUUGGUAAAGGAAGGUGAGAAAGUCGACGAGAAGGAUAAGUUCGGCAGGACACCUCUGUACUACGUGGUGGUAUCGCAGAGUAUCAGACCCUUGGACGAGAAAAGAACACGGAUUGUGAGACUAUUACUGGAUCAAGGUGCUGACAUCAACCAGAACUUUUCCGAGUGUGAUUACAGCGUGGAGAAUCCACUCGUCACCCUGGCGUUCAGGUUGAGGGACUCGAGAAGGGACGAGAUUUUCAAGAUCUUUUUGGAGUACGCGGCGAAACUUCUCGUAUGACUGCCGGACGUGUCGUACGAGUUUCGUCUUACGUACUACAACUACUUUAGAUAUAUGCACAUAGAGCACUUCGAAACAUCUGCGAUUCUUUCCACCAGCGAGAUGAGUAUGAUGAAGACGAGCAUACUGAGCGGGACCAUUGAGCGAUUCGUCAUCGCACGAAAGUGCCCCAAUUAUGAGAUUCAGGAGAUGCUCACAAAUAAACGAACUAUAGGACUCGCUGAAAACUUACACAAAAAACGUAAGUGUUAUAAUAUUACAUAAACGUAACGAAUUUGCUUGUAAACAAAGUUGAGCGAUUCCCAAUGUACAAGGGUUUGCUAAAGGCGAACCUCGAACGGGGCUUAAUGCGGCUAGGCUCACCGAGGAAGCUAGUGUUUUGUUAAGCGACGUGCUGAAAUUUGCCGGUCUCCCAUAAUUGAGAUGAUACCAGAAUAUUUCAGCAAUAAACAGUUGAAAUUUUUGUGUGAUCUGCAUAAUAAGAGUUGUUCUGCUGUAUGCACGUGUUAUAGGUAUUAGAAUGUCUUAAAAUAGAAAAAACGUUUCAAAGAAACCUUGAUGUGCGUAGAUUAUAGUUUAUAAUAGCUGUGUUAAAAUCUGUAGUGAAAUUGCAUAUUUUAAAUACAUAAAUUAUUUUGUAAUAGAUUGUAAGAAUAUUGUUAUUCAGAUAUAAUAAAUGAAAAUUAAAAAAUA